ACAUACAUAGCCUACGGUAACACUGGUUCUCCUCCGAUCACCGAAGUUAAGCAAUGUCGGACCAGGUCAGUACUUGGGAGGGUGCCACCUUGGCUUCAUAGUAUUACCU